CCUGGUUGAUUCUGCCAGUAUUCAUAUGCUUGUCUCAAAGAUUAAGCCAUGCAUGUCUAAGUAUAAGCAACUUUGUACUGUGAAACUGCGAAUGGCUCAUUAAAUCAGUUAUAGUUUAUUUGAUGGUUUUUGCUACAUGGAUAACUGUGGUAAUUCUAGAGCUAAUACAUGCAUUCAAGCCCCGACUUCUGGAAGGGGUGUAUUUAUUAGAUAAAAAUCAACUUUGUUGGUGAAUCAUAAUAACUUCUCGGACCGCAUGGCCUCGUGCUGGCGGUGCUUCAUUCAAAUAUCUGCCCUAUCAACUGUCGAUGGUAGGAUAGAGGCCUACCAUGGUUGCAACGGGUAACGGGGAAUAAGGGUUCGAUUCCGGAGAGGGAGCCUGAGAAACGGCUACCACAUCCAAGGAAGGCAGCAGGCGCGCAAAUUACCCAAUCCCAACACGGGGAGGUAGUGACAAUAUGUAACAAUAUACGGCCUUAUACGUCGUAUAAUUGGAAUGAGUACAAUUUAAAUCCCUUAACGAGGAACAAUUGGAGGGCAAGUCUGGUGCCAGCAGCCGCGGUAAUUCCAGCUCCAAUAGCGUAUAUUAAAGUUGUUGCAGUUAAAAAGCUCGUAGUUGGACCUUGGACCUGGACAGGCGGUCCGCCUCACGGCGAGUACUGUCUUGCUGGGUCUUUCCUCUUGGUGAUCUGUUGUUUCGGCAGCAGGGAACCAGGACCUUUACUUUGAAAAAAUUAGAGUGUUCAAAGCAGCUCGACGCCGGAAUAUAUUAGCAUGGAAUAAUAAAUAGGACGUGCGGUUCUAUUUUGUGGUUUUUGGAAUCGCCGUAAUGAUUAAUAGGGACAGUCGGGGGCAUU
rnacentral:rRNA from 1 species